AUUGUCUACAAAUGCAGAACUUCUGCCAACGACAUUUUCUUCAAAUGGGGAACGGUCAAAAGCUGGGACAGUGUUUGUCCAAAAUAUGCAAUUUGAUCUUGCAUGGCACGCUGCUGAACUGGGUCAGAGAUUUUAUCAAUGUCCACCGUCCCUUCAUAGGUAAUAUAAAAGAAAACAUUAUUUGCUGCAACGGCUUCUUUUCCCCGUUGUUUAUACCCAAAUAUAAGAUCAAUCCACUCAUGUAAAUGAGAAGAUACGUAUUCACUCUCCAAAGCCUUUCGACGCUUAUGAAUAAAAUCAAUUGGAUUUUCAGCCCAAGCAGGAAGUUUUACAGUAUCUGGAAUGGCAGAAAUGAGCAAGCUUUCCUAAGGUUGUCAUUGUUUUCCUAAUUCGGUGUUGUCUGAUAUGUGUGGGCAGUGAGAGCUCAAUGCACCGACCUACAAUUCAACCUUCCAAAGCCAGCAGGAUUCCACACCCAGCUAAUUGAAUUUGUCCUGCAUAAUUCAAACUUGGUAUUUCAGUCCAGACCAAACUUCACCUCACUGCAUUUCAGACAACGUCAAUCUCAUUCAAUUUCAUCAACUUUAGAUCACAUGAGUUUGCAUAUUGGCAUCCGAUUUAAGCAUUGAAACCGUGUUUACGUUCAGUAGCAGGUGAAGUGCUAUAAGAGGCAAAAGAGAGAAACGAAGAGCCAAGCACUAAUGGGAAACCAAAGUCUGGUAAGCAUAAUUCGAAGCCUAUAGGUCAGGACCCUCGGAGUGGAAGUGUUGCAGGUUUUGCCUUUUCUUCGCUCUUCGCGGCUGGCAGGAUAAUUGCACAAACAAUUUCUCCGUAGUCUUUGUCUGAGAGCUUAUAGCCACCGUAUAUGUUGGCCUCUUCCGGAAAUAAAUGAGAGUAUGCAGCUCUACAGAUGCCCGCCCUGUCAUCUGAGCAUUUCUGUGCCUAUAAUUUAAAUUGUCUGCAAUACUAGUGAGCUGUAGCCUGUCUUGAAAUACAGAUGGCAACUUGGAUAUUCCUAUAGAAGCAGCAAGUAGCCUGUGUACAAUGACAUCUGCAUAUCUUCUUAUAGGUGACGUGAAAUGGGUAUAUAAAGGUGUUGCAAGCCCAUAAUGAUGAUAUUCUGGAGGACUGAGAUCCCCACUACAGCAAUAAACUGCCUGACUCAUGCAUCUAGUGGCAAGAAUACGGAUCAACUUGUUGAAGUAUGGAUCACCAACCACAGCAAGGUCAAGAGAAUCAACCAAUGCUUUUGAUGAUGAGACGUCCAAGUUCAGGCCAAUUGUAGCAGAAACACGUAGCAAGGGUUCAAGCAUCUCUUUAGUUGGAGCCGGAUGUCGCCUUAAUAACGAACACAAAGGAAAGCUUUUAAGAAUUUAUUGAGCAACAGAAACAUUAGCAGCAAGCAUAAACUUCUCCACCAUUUGAUUGGCUUCCCGGAUUUGGUACAUGCCAAUAUCAAGGGGAUCAUGAGUCUCUGUGUCAAUUUGAAAUUUGACUUCUGCGGAUGCAAGAGUCAAAGCUCCUCUCUCAAUACGCCUUAAUCUCAUUUUCUUGGCUAAACUAUUCAUAUUUCUCAAGUCAGUAGUUACUGGAUCCAUCAAUCGACAAUCAUCCAUCCUCGCUUGUGCUUCAACAUAAGACAACGUUGCUGCAGAUUUCAGUAUGAAAGCAGUAGCUUAUUUAUAAUAAACACAACGAAGCCUGUCUUGGGUUGUUCAUAUUGCUGCAGCAAUUUUCAAGACAAAACAAUGCAAUGGUUGUAGUGUGGAAUCUCAGGAAGUGUUAGAUGCCGAAAUUUCAGCCUGCGUUUUGCAGUAUGAGAAUUGCCUUGAGGCUUUAGAAUGGAUUGUCCAAUUUUGGAAAUUGAAUCAGCAAUAUUUGCUAGCACUGGAUUUGAAGACGCGGCUUUGGAAAAUGAUGAAUAAAGAGCCUCGCGCAACGGCUCUGGCAGAGCUAGCAAAGCAUCAGCUACAAACGGGUCUGAGACAGGAUUAACUCUUAAAGGAGUAACACUUCCACUAGAGCCGUCAGCAUCUGAUUUAACAUCAGAAUUAUUGAUCUCAAGAACUUCAAUUGCCGUCUCAUCACAUCAUGCAAAUCUUCAUCAUCCACAAGAUUCACCAUGUCACCAUCUUCAUCCACAUAUCUCAGAAUAAAAUUAGCAUCAGUGAUAGCCUAGAGUUCUCGCACAUAAGUCGACUAUUUCUGCAUCCUUGGGGACAACUUCUUAGAGAAGUAUGCAAUUGGAUGUUUAUCUUGGCUUAGCACUGCACCAAUACCAGAACCCGAAGCAUCAAUUUUGAGAAAAAAUUGUUGAUGAAAAUCUGGAAGAGCAAGUACUUGAGCUACUGUAAUUGCCACCUUAAGCUGCUUGAAAGCAAUGGCUGCUUGGUUAUUCCACUAAAAAGCAUAUUUUUUUCAAUAAUGAUGUCAAUGGUGCUGCAAUACAGGCAUAUGCUGAGUUUGUGGGCGUCAAGGUUCAUGGUACAAUAGUGGGUCCAUUAUCGACUGAAUUGUUUUGACUGUCCCUGCUGCUUCCCGUGACAGUGUCAAAAGUAGAUUUUUUGAAUAUCAGUUUCAGGGACUGAAGACGGUCCUUUAUCAACAGAAUUAUCAACCGGUGGUAACACACCCGUGAGGGUAUUGAUUUCCUAAUCCAAACACGGGUCAGACCAAGAGUAGUGGAAUGCAAAGGACAGCUGAGGUUCUGAUUUUAUCGUCAUCCGCUUCAAGUGUUUCCAAUUGAUUGUCUGCAGCAGGUUCCCAGACUUGUUGAACUGGACAGUGGCACAUCUGGGGGGAACUUGACUAGCACAUCUGGACAAAAUGAGCCGCCGAACAUUCCAUAGGCAGCAAGUUCAUUUGAACAAACAAGCAGAUUGGUUCCUUCUUGCAACUCUCUCCGCUCUAACUCUUCAUCAUCAAUUAACGUUGAAAUUUAAUCAACUCCCUCCUCAGAUAUUGAGCUGUCUAAAGCAAGUUCACAAUUUUUUAUGGGUGGCUGGUUUUGAGUCACACAUUCGUUUGAUUCACCCUCUCUUGUAAAUGUUUUACCGGUUCCGGUUUGUCCAUAAGCAAAUAUACAGACAUUGUAGCCAUCCAGCACAGAGAUUACCAUCGAUGAUGCAUCAGCAAAAACAUCAACUUGAUCAUCUUUUGGUGUAUAAACCCUGUCAAAUCUGAAUGUUUUUUAGCAGAACUGCCAAUUGUCAAAAUUCCAAGGCAUCCAUCCUUUGCCGCAUCAAAAUCCACAAUUGUUGUACAUCCAACUGACAUUUCAACCUUAUUCAAUGGUCGACAACGGCGGAAAACCCUAAUGUUCCCUUUAGAUUUAAAUCCCAAUAUCAAAACCAAAUUAUAGAACA